rfam:Clostridium botulinum C str. Eklund gcontig_1106103627428, whole genome shotgun sequence.
CGAGUAAGCCAGAUGAUCGCUGCUACACUAUUAUGUGUAGGAGAGGAAAGUCCGAGCUCCAUAGGGCAGGGUGCUGGGUAACUCCCAGUGGAGGCGACUCUAAGGAAAGUGCAACAGAGAUAUACCGCCAUAAACUUUGUUUAUGGUAAGGGUGGAAAGGUGAGGUAAGAGCUUACCAGCGCAAUGGCGACUUUGCGGCUAUGUAAACCCCAUCUGGAGCAAGAUUGAAUAGAGGGACAUUAAGGAGCGGCCCGUUCCGUCCCCGGGUAAAAUCGCUUGAGUCUAAUGGUAACAUUAGGCCUAGAUAGAUGAUCAUCAAAUACAGAACUCGGCUUAUAGACUUAUCUCGUAUA